AAGCAUUAAAAAGAAGCAAAGAAAGAAUGGCAGUGUUAAUAAAGUCUGUGUUUGAAUUCUCUGGUUAAGGUUAGUGACAGUGCUAAGAUCUCAUGACUACAGUAAAGGACUUCAUGGUAACAACUCACCAGUCAACAAGGACUCUGGAGAGCAGCUGCUGUGGAGCUAUCACUUCCCUAGCAGGAGAUGGCAGUAAGCAGUAUUCAAGGAAAGAAGGCUUCCAAUGGCAUUUAGACAAACGAUCAUAG
rnacentral:lncRNA from 1 species